CAUACCAGUCCAUAUGAAGUAUAAAUUAAAGCCAGUUGUGUUUUAGAUUUUAUCCAACAGAUAUGCUCUCUUCCUAAACACAGGUUACCGCUGCAUCAGUUAAAAUCGUGCGGCGAGUUCCAUUCCGAUUUGUAUUUGCCUUGAAGUAUUCUACUUAUAAUUCUAUA
rnacentral:misc_RNA from 1 species